CCUAACACAUGCAAGUCGAACGAAGUAGCAAUACUUAGUGGCAGACGGGUGAGUAACAUGUAGGUAUCUGCCCUUUGGCCUGGAAUAACACGAGGAAACUUGUGCUAAUACUGGAUAAGUCUUAACGGAGAAAGCUUUAUGCACCAUUGGAUGAGCCUGCACUUGAUUAGUUUGUUGGUAGGGUAAUGGCCUACCAAGACUGUGAUCAAUAGCUGAUUUGAGAGGAUGAUCAGCCACAUUGGGACUGAGACACGGCCCAAACUCCUACGGGAGGCAGCAGUGGGGAAUCUUGCACAAUGGAGGAAACUCUGAUGUAGCGAUGCCGCGUGAGUGAAGAAGGCCUUUGGGUUGUAAAGCUCUUUCGUCGGGGAAGAAAAUGACUGUACCCGAAUAAGAAGGUCCGGCUAACUUCGUGCCAGCAGCCGCGGUAAUACGAAGGGACCUAGCGUAGUUCGGAAUUACUGGGCUUAAAGAGUUCGUAGGUGGUUGAAAAAGUUGGUGGUGAGAUCCCAGAGCUUAACUCUGGAACUGCCAUCAAAACUUUUCAGCUAGAGUUUGAUAGAGGAAAGCAGAAUUUCUAGUGUAGAGG
rnacentral:rRNA from 1 species